CAACGAUAAAGCAAAUUCCAAGUGCUUCAAAUGUUGAUAUAUCUUCGAAGAUAUGGUCAGAGAAUGAAGGUUGUCUUUCUGGAACCGUUCCCGUCAAAAGAGUUACCAAACAUGAUCUUAUUAGACAAAGACGUAUGCCAUCGCCAGAAGAUUUCGCAUUGGAAUCUCACUUAGAGGAUACUAACCACAUUUUGGAGGAAACAGCUGGAGGAUACAAGCGUGCAAUAGUUCAUACUCCAAGUGAUCCAAAUAACAAAUUUGCGGGAGCUGCAAUGGUAGCUAGUAUAUGGAAUCCUUCCGUUGAAAGUCAACAAAGCAG